rnacentral:rRNA from 1 species
AACCUUUACUAUAGCUUGACACUGAACAUUGAGCCUUGAUGUGUAGGAUAGGUGGGAGGCUUUGAAGUGUGGACGCCAGUCUGCAUGGAGCCGACCUUGAAAUACCACCCUUUAAUGUUUGAUGUUCUAACGUGGACCCGUAAUCCGGGUUGCGGACAGUGUCUGGUGGGUAGUUUGACUGGGGCGGUCUCCUCCUAAAGAGUAACGGAGGAGCACGAAGGUUGGCUAAUCCUGGUCGGACAUCAGGAGGUUAGUGCAAUGGCAUAAGCCAGCUUGACUGCGAGCGUGACGGCGCGAGCAGGUGCGAAAGCAGGUCAUAGUGAUCCGGUGGUUCUGAAUGGAAGGGCCAUCGCUCAACGGAUAAAAGGUACUCCGGGGAUAACAGGCUGAUACCGCCCAAGAGUUCAUAUCGACGGCGGUGUUUGGCACCUCGAUGUCGGCUCAUCACAUCCUGGGGCUGAAGUAGGUCCCAAGGGUAUGGCUGUUCGCCAUUUAAAGUGGUACGCGAGCUGGGUUUAGAACGUCGUGAGACAGUUCGGUCCCUAUCUGCCGUGGGCGCUGGAGAACUGAGGGGGGCUGCUCCUAGUACGAGAGGACCGGAGUGGACGCAUCACUGGUGUUCGGGUUGUCAUGCCAAUGGCACUGCCCGGUAGCUAAAUGCGGAAGAGAUAAGUGCUGAAAGCAUCUAAGCACGAAACUUGCCCCGAGAUGAGUUCUCCCUGAGACUUAGAGUCUCCUGAAGGAACGUUGAAGACGACGACGUUGAUAGGCCGGGUGUGUAAGCGCAGCGAUGCGUUGAGCUAACCGGUACUAAUGAACCGUGAGG